UGCUGGGUGGUGGGCGGGGGUCCUUUGUGUAAUAAUUUUGUGUCUUGAUAAAGUAGGAAUAUGGCUGGGACCAUCCCUGACUCUCUUUUUUCCUUGAAUGUGAACACAUGAGUGAAGCAUACAUCCAUUGUCCAUGGGGCAAGAAACAUGAGGAUGAAAAGCCAAUAUGUUAAGGACAUGAAGUGAAAAGCGGGAAGAGCUUCUUAUUCAUGUUAUCACUGAGCAGCGGGAACUGGGGGCUCUGCUCAUUAUAGUUGCCCACGGCCUCCAGUCAAUGAAAUUUCCGGCCAAUGAAAUGCUCUACUGUGACUGAAGCAGCAAAGAGAAGAUGGGUGGCUUUGAAAUCAGAAUUGGAUGCAGAGGGAGUCCCAGAGGCCAACACUGUGAACAUAAGAAGGGAAAGACCAGUUCUGCAAGCACAGAUGUAAUUUUGAGAAGCAGAGCUACAGUUCUGCCGGAGGCCUCUCCAGAUUGUGAUGCACUGGGAGCAAGCCACCAUGAACAUAUCCUCAGGUCUCCAGUCUUCUGCCAUCGCAUGAAAAAUGGAGCUUGUCAAACACAGAGCAGAGCUGAACUUUCUGAAUUCCACAGGACAGUUCAGAGUGCUUGGAAUGACACCCACCUGCAAUUUAAACAAAAAAGAAGGAUGAGUAAGUGAGGAGCUAAAAAUUGCAUGUUUCCCUAAAUUAGAUUUAUUUGUAAGCUUUAAGUAAGUGCAAACAUAUUUCGAAU
rnacentral:lncRNA from 1 species